UGUUACAUUGUUUACUUUUAUCCUCCCCAUGUCCUUGGAUUUGUAUGUAAUAAUUCUUUGAGACUGCAACGUUACUGUGGGGUCUGUCGAGCCUUGAAGCCAAUGUCGUAUUGUCUGUCGAUUUGUGAUAUUCAUUCUUUUUCCGGAUAAAGAAUUUCCGGAGUUACACAACACAAGAAAAAGAACGGUUUUAUUAUUAUUAUUUAUAAUACGUUUAGUGUUAGGCCAAAAGCCAGGUCGACCUCAGGACUUUGCUCUGCACUUUGCUCGAUCACAAGACAACCGCGUAUUCCAUUGUCAUAAGACCUCAGUCACAAGACAUGCUGGCUUAUUUCCCAACCACUCAAUCAGAAGCCUUAAGUGAGACUUUGGCUACAAGUAACAGAACUCCAGUCAGAAGCUCUGAGGGAGAUGUCUGACAGACAUGGAAAUGUAUUACGCAGGUAAAGCCAUCAACUGACCGUCAUGCGGCCCCUUACCCUCGGAGAUCUACAGAGAGGUGCGACAGUCCCAGGGGACAGCGGGGCUCCACAUGACGUCAUG